CUCUUGUAGGUGAGUGAUCAUAGCUCUGGUAGUGGGCAUAUGCUCAUGCUAGCUCUGCAACUCAUUUGACAUGAAUGCCAACACAUAGCAUUUGACCCGACUAUCUUCAUUCAUCCACUUUUCAUAAGCAGUUCUUUGCUCGACAGUAGGACAGUUUGGUAAUUCUAAGAGUUUCUGAUUGAGUACAUAACUUAGUUUCUCAGAAGUCAGAAUAAUCUUGAGAUUUCUUAGCCAGUCUUUAUAGUUUAUACUGGUCGAAUGAUUAGAUUCAAGGAUGCGGGCU
rnacentral:lncRNA from 1 species